ensembl:snRNA LOC120098022 U2 spliceosomal RNA
AUCGCUUCUCGGCCUUGUGGCUAAGAUCAAGUGUAGUAUCUUUUGUAUUUUCCAAGAUGGUGAAGACAAGUUCUCAAAAUACAUCCUUA